rnacentral:lncRNA from 1 species
AUGAGUACUCAUAAGGGCUGAGUAUUGGAUUCAACCCACGCUCACUUGCAUCACUUCAUGGAAUUUAUCUCGAGUGAUCGUGAGACGGUAAUAUCAUAUAAAUCUUCAAACCUAGAGAUAUGAGUUGUUGACUGUGAGUUGGUUAUUCAUUGAUUGUACGAAAACGCAUUGGUAACUCGAUGUUAUAAAACAUGCCUUUGUGAGUAAUUCAACAAGUAAUUAGUACAACCAUAUCAGUCGAAUUUUAUCUGUUCCUUCUAGAAAUAGAAGCGAUAUCUGGGCCCCUCGAUGAUUUGGUUUUGACCUAUGUAUCGGGCCUGUUCAGAACCUAAUUGAUGUGUUCAAUUUAGUUCUAUGUCGAAACAUUAGUACAACCAUAUCAGUCGAAUUUUAUCUGUUCCUUCUAGAAAUAGAAGCGAUAUCUGGGCCCCUCGAUGAUUUGGUUUUGACCUAUGUAUCGGGCCUGUUCAGAACCUAAUUGAUGUGUUCAAUUUAGUUCUAUGUCGAAACAAAUCGGAGAUCGAGAAACAAAUGCUGGACAAUAAGUAAGACCAUGUUCCAUGUGUUUGUCCGGCUGAUAUCAUGAGAACAGAGGAUUAUAUGAUCACUUAUCUUAAAUGGCGUAUCAUCAUCAUCUCAGUUCCGAGAGACUUUAAAAGAGCUACGAUUGCUAGUCGGAAUUUGAAGUCAUAUUUGCAAAUAUAGUUAUUAGACUUAUCCAAGUGGGAGACUGUUGGACAUAGUGUCUAA